rnacentral:rRNA from 1 species
CCUACGGGAGGCAGCAGUGAGGAAUAUUGGUCAAUGGGCUUACGCCUGAACCAGCCAAGUCGCGUGAGGGAAGACUGCCCUCUGGGUUUUAACCCUCUUUUGUCAGGGAGCAACGCCGGCUACGUGUAGCCGGACUGAGAGUACCUGAAGAAAAAGCAUCGGCUAACUCCUUGCCAGCAGCCGCGGUAAUUCUGAGGAUGCGUGCGUUAUCCGAAUGUAAUGGGGUUAAAGGGUGCGUAGGCGGAAGGCCAAGUCAGCGGUAAACUCGCGGGGCUCAACCUCGCUCCGCCGUUGAAACUGGCGUUCUUGAGUGGGCGAGAGGUAUGCGGAAUUCGUGGUGUAGCGGUGAAAUGCAUAGAUAUCAGGCAGAACUCCGGUUGCGAAGGCAGCAUACCGGCGCCCAACUGACGCUGAAGAACGAAAGCGUGGGUAGCGAACAGGAUUAGAUACCCCAGUAGUC